UGAGGAAUAUUGGUCAAUGGGCGCAAGCCUGAACCAGCCAUGCCGCGUGCAGGAAGAAGCAUCUAUGGUGUGUAAACUGCUUUUAUACAGGAAGAAACAUCCCGACGUGUCGGGACUUGACGGUACUGUAGGAAUAAGGAUCGGCUAACUCCGUGCCAGCAGCCGCGGUAAUACGGAGGAUCCAAGCGUUAUCCGGAAUCAUUGGGUUUAAAGGGUCCGUAGGCGGCCUUAUAAGUCAGUGGUGAAAUCUCCUAGCUCAACUAGGAAACUGCCAUUGAUACUGUAAGGCUUGAAUUUUUGUGAAGUAACUAGAAUAUGUAGUGUAGCGGUGAAAUGCUUAGAUAUUACAUGGAAUACCAAUUGCGAAGGCAGGUUACUAACAAAC
rnacentral:rRNA from 1 species